GGUUUUGACAGCGUACGGUAGAGCGGUGUUACAGAGCUGCGUGUCCUUCCCUUCCUCUCGGCUGCUCAGCAGUACAGAAGUGAGAGCUGAGGAGCAAUUUCACUGGAAGACCAAGACAGCUUUUAUGAAGCAGCUUCUCACGUGGGUGACAGAAUGAAUUAUGCUCCUGCUGAUGCUCAGAGACCAAACACGGUGAUAUUUUCAGAGCACGCAAGAUUUCAGCCUACCUAAAUUUCCAAGAUGCAGAAUGGAUGAGGCCUGUGAGGACAUUGGAACAACAUACUUAAAGAGUUCACAAGCUCCUCUGAAAGAGAUUCCAGUGAUGUCAUUGGUACAAAAGCUUUUGAGGAAUAUGAAAUUUUGCAAUUCUCCAUGUUCAAAAAUAUUAACUAUCUAUGUAAGUAAAUAGAUGGAUCUGUGCCAUGAAUGCCUCUAUCAGAUUGAAUUGCAUACACCACUGUCCUUUCACAUUAAUUUGCUACAUUUUUUUAAUUGUUUUUCUCGCACUCUGAGAUUAAGCCCUUAAAUGUCAGUGAAUCUUCUAGGAGAAAGAUGUAUUGCUGUUUGUAGUAAAUAGUCUCUUUAAAAUGUUCCAAAAGAUAGAAAAGGAAGGACAGUCUUUUACUCUCCCAUUUUUCUUCCCAUGACUAAAUUUCAGUUUUAGCUGUUUAGGUGGCUGUGUUGAUGCAUUAAUACUCUGAUAAGAAACAAUAGACCAAAGAUUCAACCAUAAUUAUUCUGAAAGCACUGCUCCAACAGCAUCUUUUCAAGACUUGCAUAAAGAAUUCUUUAAUUCAAGUUCCUCUGUAUCAAAAUGAAUGGGAUCUUUUAUGAUGAAUGCUUUCAAAUGCACCCAGGAAGCUACAAAUGAUGUGACUGGCCACAGGCAUGCCUACAGGCUGCUAGGAAUUACUAAAACAAACAGUCAUUCUACUUUAUUUGGGGGAAAGUUUUUCCGUUUAUGAACAAAUAAACCAGUCUGCCACUUUUCUUAUCAUUCAAAACACGUGCAAGGAAGUGCUAUUUCCAAGGAAGGUCACAGAUUUUGAGUUUAGUGUGGUAAAUACUCAAGUGUUUUUUGUUCUACACACAAGCACUGAGACACAAAUCAUUUUUUGUAUUUAGAGACUAACCAAUAAUUCCAAUUCUCCUCCUUUAAGAAUUAUUUAUUCAUUCAAAGCUCCAUGCUGUAUUAUUGCUAAAAGUCCUGCUAGAUGUAUACAGGCAUGCUUACCAAUUUUAUAAUAACACGUGGUUAAGCAGAAGACUUAGAGCAUGAAGACAUCUUCCUACGGACAAAUAAAGCCUCAUUUUUAUAUAGAGGUUUAUUUGUCAGUCUUAGCAUAAGUAGACACCUGCCAUUCAAGAAGAGGAGUUAGGUGCACUAGAUGUGAGGAGAGUUGCAUCGCUCCCUUUGUGUGCCUUUGGCCAUAGCAAGUUGCAUGUUUCUCCUGCGUUAGCAUGAUGGUCCCUUUAAACUCCAGGAAACGGUGAUCUUCUAGAUGAAGUGUUGAAUAAAGAUUUCAGCUUGUAAAUAUAGGAAUGUUCAGAGAUGAGGAGCAAAAACUGAGAAUUUAAAUUAGGAGAUAAUAUUAGCAACAUAAACAAGACGUUGUAGAUAUUUUCAAAGUUAUUUAGGGCAAUGCCAAGAGUAAGUAGAAUACUAAUUUUUAUGGUGAAUGUUAAAGUUUUUCUUUGAAACUAAAAUUAGUUUCUGUAAAGAAGCCUUACUACUUUUAAGUCAAAGUGGAAUGAUCAGCCCCAGGUGAAAGCCAGGUAUAAAUUUAAAAUAUGGUAGAAUUUCAAGCAAUCGUGAUGACAUACUCUUGGAGACAAGUUUUCUCGGAGAAAAAAUAAUUCCAAAAUAUUAUCUCAGUCUUGAUAUAAUUUAAUUAGGAGUACUGAAUUAAACUAAAACCUGUUGCUAGGAAAAGAAGAAGAAUGCAUAGAAAGCUUAGCUUUUCUGAAAGUUAAAUCGUAGAAUCAUAGAAUGGGUUGAAAAGAACCUUAAUGAUCAUGUCGUUUCAACCACCCUGAUGUGGGCAGGGUUGCCAACCACUAAACCAGCCUGCCCACCUAAUGCUACCUAAUGGUUGGGUAGGUAAUACGCACGGUCACUUAAUCGAGCUAAAUGGUGAAAUCAUCAUUCAGAAUCAAAAAUGUGUUCAUUACUAAUAUUAAAUAAAAUUAAACAGUACCAUUAUAAAUAGGCCCAAGGAAGAGAUAUUUAUUGAUACAUCUGUGGGGAGUUCACAUCAAUUUUAAAAAGUUGUCCAGAAACAGAUGGAUUUACUCAAUUUCAUCAUAUAAUGACCAAAAGGUAGUGAGGUCAGAAUCAUGUUGAACUGGUGAUGUACUUGAAAUUUUACCAACUAUAAACUGAAAGUGCUCAUUCAUUUGAUAAUUUUUUUCUCCAAUAAGGAAGAUAUACUUAUUUUAAAACCUUUAAGACAGAAAGCAUUUAGGACUCUGAAUAGCAGAUUUUGGACUUUGGGUCUUUCCCAGUAAUCAAAGAUAGCAACAUGAAUUAACAACCAUACGAAAGGAUGCAAGGACAGAUAAGGGAGGGACUACUGCAUUUACUCUAAAGGAAAGAGAAAAGGAGAAAUCAAUAUUUAUUUCUAAAAGACUCUACUGGGAAUUUCUAUAGUUCAAAGGACGUCAAAACGUAUCGUUGAAGAGUGAAAAAAUUGCUUUUCUAGAACAGCAACCUGACUGGAAUGCAACUCAUUUUUCCAUAGGUUCAGAUUUCUGCUAGGCUCUGAUUUCAGGGAUAUCCAAAAUCAAUAUCCUUAGCACACCUCCACAGAAUUUUGUGCAGGUAUCUUAUUCCAUAUAGUAUCUGAGAAGCUUAUGCCAGAAGCAAAAAAGAAAAAUGAUUACUCCAUAACAGUCUUCAGAUUUUUAAACCUUUCUCUUGAAAACAUUAAUUGAACAAUUAUAGGAUUUUAAUCGGAUAUCUGGGACAAAUUUGCCUUGGUAACUAAUUGUCUUUGUUUACAUGGAGAGUAUAACUAUAACUAUAAGAAGAUAUGGUUUGCAUUCCCUCUUUUAAGCUGAGUUUAAUCAGAACUUAAUUUACUAAAUUACCUCGUUAACAGGUGCUAUUAUUGCUAAAGUUCAAUAAGGUCAUAAUUUUUGCAUUCACCUGAUUGUUUUUGUAUUCACCUGAUGUUAAUAUGCUGUGUAUAUGAGCUUUUUAGCAAUAUAUGCUAUUUUGGAUCUUUCUGAGUUUGUUGUCUCAGGGUUGCCAGAUUUCUUUCUAAAGGUCACAUAACUGCCAGGACACUGGAAACAUCCUGACAGUCAUGCUAAAGCCAUGUCCAUACUACCAUCAUAUUUCUUUGUCAUGAGGCAUGCUAAAACUAGCUGUCCAUUUAAACAUAGCAGAGAAUUCUCUAGUACUAUCAGAACUACUGUUUUACUGCAGCCUCAAUUGUACUCUUUCCCUCUUUUCCUGGAUACGCACAGCAAGUAACACAUGCAAAAGAGAAAACUAGCUCUCUUCUUUCUAAGAAAGCUAUCAUCACUUGUUUGCUUGAGGGGCAAAAGGAGAAUUUUCUUGCAGUUCCUAGAAUUGCUUAAACCUUCAUACUUGAUCUGCAUUAAAAAAUAAAAAUUAAAAUUAAAAGAUUAAAAAAAAAAGAAGAAUCUAUUUAAACAUUCAUUUUCAAUGUGUCCUGUUCUUCUAUUUAGGGAAGUCAUUCAACAUGUGCAAAAAUCACAUUCUUUUGAAUUCUGCUAUAUUUCCAUUCUGGCUCAGUAAUUAAAACAGAUAGUGAUUACUAUAACUAAAUACCAAAAGAUUUGAGUUCUGUAUAUAUACUUUUUGCUUUAUUUUUACCUUAAAUUGGUCAGUAUUUAUUCUUUUUGCCAUAUGUGCUUUGCCUUUGGGCAAUGUUUUGGGACAGCAUCUCUCCAAAAUAAGAUAAGUAAUGCAAAUACCUCAGUGCACUUACUGCAGGCAAUUAAUCUUCACAUUCAUUUCUUUCAACGUUCUUCUUAUAUGGUACUUGACAGAUUUUUUCAACUUCCAGUAUUUUUAACUCAAACUUUAAUUGGAAUUUCUCUAGCCAUUUUGACAGUCACGCAAAGCAGAGAUAUUGUAACUCAACCUUUCUGACAUUUUUUUUAUCUUCUCUGACAUAAGCACAUAAUGAUCCUGCAUGACCUUAAGUAGUAACAGGCAAAUGACUUUGAACAUUCUUUCUGAAUCCUGUAUUUUGACUUAGUAACAACAUUUUUGAGUGAAACUAUUUAUUAAUUUAACCCCAUUGUCCUGUCCAAUUUAUUUAAUCCUACAUUUCUCCUAAUUUUGAAAGAUCUUGGAUACAUUUUAGACAAUAAUUUUGAGAAAAGAUUUCUUCACUAAAAAAGCAUGCAGUAUUGAAUUGUCCCUUCAGGUCUGGUUACUAAACUAUGUUAAUAAUGAUCUGCUGUUAUUUUGCAACUAUAGCAUAAAAAUAUCCUUUGAAGCUUCCCAUGUUUGUAGUCAUAGGCUGUGUAGAUGCUCCGAUGGCAUCUUAUUUCUUGUUGAAGAUGUUGGCUUCUACAAAACACGUUAUUUCUUCUACUUAUUCAUUCCCAUUUAUGGCAUAGUCUAAAACACCGAGUCAUAGACCAGAAUGCACUGCACUGUAUGAAAAUUUAACAAACAGUAGUUUAUUUUUUCAAGUAGAAAUGGAAUUACUAGUGGCAGCCAUAUAUCAUAGUAUGUAUGCAUUCAUUUUAU